rnacentral:rRNA from 1 species
CAUGUCUUUUUGAUUUUAAUUUAAGGUUUGGUCUGCUCAAUGAGUAUUUAAAUUGCCGCGGUAUUUUGACCGUGCAAAGGUAGCAUAAUAAUUAGUUUCUUUAUUGGGAGCUGGAAUGAAUGAUUGGACGAGAAAGUGACUGUCUCUUAGUUAUUUAUUUUUGAAUUUAACUUUUAAGUUAAAAGGCUUAAAUGUUUUUUAAAGACGAGAAGACCCUAUAGAGUUUUAUAUUAUAUUGAUUAUAUUUAUUUUGGUAUUUUAUUAUUUAUUGUUUCUGUAUUAUUUGGUUGGGGUGACUGGAAGAUUAAUUAAACUCUUCUAAUUUUAAAUCAUUGAUUUGUGAAUAUUUAAUCUAGAUUUUUUAAAUUUAAAAAAAAUUACCUUAGGGAUAACAGCGUUAUUUCUCUUUAGAGUUCAUAUUGAAAGAGAAGUUUGCGACCUCGAUGUUGGAUUAAAAUUAAUUUUUGGUGCAGAAGCUUUAAAAUUGAGUCUGUUCGACUUUUAAAAUUUUACAUGAUCUGAGU